CUAUCCAUCAGUUUUGCUAAAGUUUUGGGGUUUUGUGUUUUUUUAGUAUUAUCUGCAGAGCAGGUCAUGAUGAAGAAAUCAUGGCUUCUGUUUAUCUCUGCAGCUGCUUUGUUUUUCACUACUUCAUUAGCUUGUUCCAACGGUGCUUGCCAGAUGUUAGAAUCAUGUGCAGCAGCUACUGAUUGUGCAGCUGGUUUGUAUUGUGGGAAUUGCCCUCAGUUGGGUAAAAAUCAGCCUUAUUGUAUUAGAGGUCAAGCUAAUAUCCCUACUGCCAUUGUAAGUGGAUUGCCAUUCAACAAGUACACAUGGCUUGUAACACAUAAUGCAUUCUCAAUUGUGGAUGCCCCUCUCUUGACUGGUCCUCAAAGGAUCACAUUUUACAAUCAAGAAGAUUCCGUCACCAACCAAUUAAGAAAUGGAGUUAGAGGAUUGAUGUUGGAUAUGUAUGACUUCGACAAUGAUAUCUGGCUCUGCCACUCAUUCCGUGGCCAGUGCUACAACAUCACUGCCUUUCAACCAGCAAUUAACACAUUGAGAGAAGUGGAAGCAUUCUUGAGUUCAAAUCCAACUGAGAUUGUGACAAUUAUAAUUGAAGAUUAUGUGCAUACAACAAGAGCAUUGACCAAGUUAUUCGCCGAUGCUGGGUUAGACAAAUACUGGUAUCCAGUUUCCAAGAUGCCAAAAAAGGGCGAGGAUUGGCCUACGAUCACCAAUAUGGCACAAGAAAAUCAUCGGUUGUUGGUUUUCACUUCCGAUUCUUCAAAGGAAGUUACCGAAGGUGUUGCUUACCAAUGGAGAUACAUGGUGGAAAAUGAACCUGGAGAUCCCGGUGUAAAACAAGGCUCUUGCCCAAACAGAAAAGAAUCAAAACCACUUGAUUCAAAAAGUGCAUCUCUUUUCCUUCAAAACUACUUCCCUACGAUGCCGGUACAAGCUGAAGCUUGCAAAGAGCAUUCAACUCCAUUGAUGGAUAUGGUUGGCACCUGCUACAAAGCAGCUGGGAAUGUGAUGCCCAAUUUCUUGGCUGUGAAUUACUAUAUGAGAAGUGAUGGCGGAGGUGUAUUCGAUGCUUUGGAUAGAAUGAAUGGCCAAACGUUAUGUGGGUGUGUUUCAGUCACUGCUUGUCAGGCUGGGGCACCGUUUGGAACUUGCAGAAACAAUGGAGUGGCGAAUUCCAGUGCACCAACUGGUCCUUCUGGUAGUUUCUCAGGAACUGUGCAAUUGACAGGAUCUGCUUCGCAAAUAAAUCUUACUAGUCUAUUGGUCAUUUAUGGGUUCAAUUUUUCCUUGAUAUUAUUAGUGUUGUAUUUGAAAUAGAUACAUGCGAGCACCUUCGUAGAGGCUCGUUCUUAUAUCUUAAUGUAUUAAGUUAGACUAGGUAUAUAAUUCAUUCCCACUUAACAUGGUGAAAUGUCAAGCAUUUGGUGGCUACAUAAUGAAGUAUGCGGGAGUUCCUAUUCGGGCAUUUCAGUUUGCAAAGUAUGAGAAAUCAAGAUAUAGCAUUUAGGAUGCAGUUAUGUUAUUAUGGUUGCUCUGUUUUCUUGUUGGUUACUUGGUUUCUUUAUUCACAAGUGUAAGUACCACUAUCUAACAUUGUACUCAUAUCUUGAAAGCAAAGGCGAUACCUUCCUUUUGGAAUUUGAUGAUGUAUAUUACAUAUCAACGGUAUUAUGGCA